rnacentral:rRNA from 1 species
UACAGAGGUCUCAAGCGUUGUUCGGAAUCACUGGGCGUAAAGGGUGCGUAGGCGGCGGAGAAAGUCGGGUGUGAAAUUUGCGGGCUCAACCCGUAAGUUGCACUUGAUACUACUUUGCUAGAGAUCUGGAGAGGAGCUUGGAAUUCUCGGUGUAGCAGUGAAAUGCGUAGAGAUCAUGAGGAAGACCAGUGGCGAAGGCGGGUCUCUGGACAGUUCCUGACACUGAGGCACGAAGGCCAGGGGAGCAAACGGG